UUUCUGGCUGCACCUCUGGCAUGCAAAUUUCCUGGGCCGGGGAUCGAACCCAAGCUAUAGCAUAGUGAGCUGAGUCACAGCAGUGACAAUGCCGGAUCCUUAACCUGCUAGGUCACCGGGAACUCCAACAAUCACACCCUUUUAAUAUUAAGAAUCCAGCCCUUUCAACGUGGAUUUUCCAGUUACGUCUGUACAACAUAAGGAAUUUUUUGAGGGUGACUUUAUUUGGUCUGGAUGAGGAAAUGUCCAACAUACAGCCAAAAUACAGAUCCGCUGACUCUGUGGUACGUCGCAAAGCUUAUCAGCAUUGCCAAUUUAAUGGUUUAAAAGGUCAAGGGACGUGAAAUAGGAGAAGGAGUUCUUUAGACUUUUUCCCUUUUUAACAGGUGCACCAUAUCCAGAGAAACAGUUGCUGUAACCCCUAUAUCCGUCUUUUUUGGUUGAACAUCUCAGUAGAAAAUACUAUUUUCAGAAAGUAUUGUCUUGCCCACAAGUUAUCCACUUACAGCCUAUCAUGCUCGCCCAGCUAUGAAAAUCAUCUCAGGGCACGGCUCCAGGAGCCUAAAGAGCGGGCGCGAGAGCCAGUCCUGUUCGCCUCUUGUCUCCCUUUUGCCUCUGAGCCUUUCUACUCAGCGCAUUCGUCACAUCACCGUGGUUUUGCUUUCCUAAAGCUCUGUUCUAAGUGAGCUGCCGCUCUUCUCAACUAAAUCCCCCCUCUUUGCCAUCUUGCACCCUGUGCAUUUCCAGACCUAAAAUGUCAAAGUAUCAAGCAGAUGGGGUUGCAUUUGGAACACUGGUUUGGGAGGGAAGGACUCCAUGCUGUCAGCGGAUCCGUAGUAUUUUUAAAAACAACAGACUCUUAGUAAGAGACUCACUGAAUCCGGUUCUCUGUCUCAAGUGACUAUUCUGUUUAGAUAAGAUAUUCGCUACCAUAAGGUAAAAUCAGCACUGGCCAUUUGGCAAGGUACCUAGGAUGUUACAGGAUGCCAGAUUUUUGUCUAGUAAUUCUUCAGAAGAAAGGGUGUUCGGUACACUUGGGUAUCAUUCAACACUUCUUUUUUUUGCUGCAUCUGGGCUAAAAAAGCUAAACCCUCUUCUAGCCUCGUUUGAGCAGAAGGCUCGAAUAGCUUCCUCUCUGCCAGGGUCUCAUGCCCAUGGAGCGUCGGGCAAGGAUAUUUUGUUGUGCCCUCAAGAGGACGGGCAUUAGGUUUCCUUUCAUUGGAAGCGUACAAAGACGUGUUUCUGCGACUGGGAGUGGGUCCUUUUUCUUAUUCGGUUUUGGACCUACGCGGCCGCAGCCACGCCACACGGCACCUCUGACUGCGGCGAAGGAACAUGUGGGGGCGACCCGGGCCAAAGCCACUGACCAGGAGCCACAAGUCCUUCUGGCUUCUCGCACCAUCUGCCUCUGGCUUCGGGUAACAGUUCCACCAGGCGACCAACAUUUGUAAGCACACACUGGGAAGGCACAGAGUCCUGUUCAGAUGCCUAAACGCGCAGCAUUUCAGCACAAAGCCCUGUUCAGAUGCCCAAACGUGCAGCAUUUCAGUUUCCUUGUCUGCAAAAUGAAACAUGGUGUUUUAAAGUGUUGAUUUUACUCUAUGAUCCAGAGAGCAGAGGGCAGUUAACACGUCUGACCUUUCUUCUAGAGAAUUCAGAAAUUUCACCCGUUUUCGUAUGCUUGGUCCAAUGCUUUCUCACUCUCAGAGCUAAGCCCCUCCUUUUCUAAACGGUGAUAAGAACGUCUGUACUUGCCUUAGUUAAAUUCUGAAGGUCACUUUUAAUGCAGACUGUGUGUGUGCCCACAACAACACAGUAAAGUCCACAGUGGAAAGGUGACGCUGGGCAUCUAACAGUGUGGUGUCACAACUUAACUGGCUGGAGAGUCCCUCCAGCCUGAACAGAGAGGAAUGACAAGAUAUCUCGUUAGUUGUGAAAAACCGUCAGAUUCUAGUCCAUCUGCUCUUUUAUUUUUCUUUCCCUCUUCAAGGAAAAAAAGACCAAAUGCAAUGGGGACCAGGGUGGCUCUAGCUCAGGGGUGGCUGACAGGGGUUCUUAGUCGCAGGCACAUUAUGGGAUGUGGACCACGUGAUAAACUGCCCUUUGAUGCCUCGGCUCUGCCCACGGCCGAUCUUCUUCCUUGUGGUGGGGGUGGGGCCUGGGCCCUGUAUUUUCAAGGUACCUUCCUUUUCUCGCCCUGUGGCUCCCGAUUUGAAGAGUUAAGUGGCCAAGAGAACAAGCCCACCCGUAUCUGGAUCCUCUCCUUUCAGACUGGGCUCCAGGUGCUGGGAUUCCAGAGCUGUGUUAACAGGGCCUCCACCCUGCAGGUGUAUGGACCCCGCCUGGCAUGGAUGCAGGUUAAACCUGUGUGUGAAUCAGGGAUGAGAGGGGAACGGGGACGGGCUCCGGGCUGGGUAACGGUCGGCGCCGGGUUCGGGAGCAGCUAUUGACACCUCUCAUUAGACGUCCCCCCGUGUGUACGUCGCCAUGGUUACUCCCUCUCCUCCGCAAGGAACACACUUUUCCAGAACAACUUACUUCUAAACCCCGGGCAAAAUGGCCAACUUGGUUAAGAUCUCCCUUUGGGGAAGGGUAGACUGGCGCAAAAAUCAGAAUAACUAACAUUUUCGUAGGGGAGAGAGGAAACAGCAAGCAGAAGGAGAAAAAGGAUUUGGGAGGACAACGGAUAUAUUUCUUGUCUUUGGGGGAACUAAUAUGGGUACUCACUUUUUUUUUUGUCUUUUUGCCUUUUCUAGGGCUGCUCCCGUGGCAUGUGGAGGUUCCCAGGCUAGGGGUCUAUUUGGAGCCCUAACCACCAGCCUACGCCAGAGCCACAGCAACGCAGGAGCCGAGACGUAUCUGCAACCUACACCACAGCUCACGGCAACGCCAGAUCCUUAAUCCACUGAGCAAGCCCAGGGAUUGAACUCGCAACCUCAUGGUUCCUAGUCAGAUUUGUUAACCACUGAGCCACAACGGGAACUCUGCAACGUUUUUUAAAGCUUCAGAAAGGAAGCUCUCUCUCUGGCCUCCUCUGUCCCUCCUUUAUGUCCCCUCUCGGUCAUGUCGGCCAUUUGGUCCCAGCGGCCCAAGCACACUGGAGUCCCAUGUUUAUCACUGGCUGCUCUUAAACCCCUAUCGAGCAGGUGACUUCACCUGGCCCGGGCUCCCGCCUUUGAUCCCUCAUCCUCUCCCUGACCCCAAACCAACAUGGCCAGGUCUCCAUUUGUUUCAGGAAGUGCUGUGCUGCUGUAAGUAGCUUAAUUAGUUAAAUGCAUCUUUAAUGAUCCAUUUGCUAAUUAAUGUGUUCUUUGUUCCAGGCGACAAAAGGCUUAACCUUGUUAAAAUCUACCUCUGCUCACAGGGCAUUUAUAAGGAAAAUAACCUCCACAGUGAAAGGAAAACUCACAACAUCCUAGGUUUUAGGACGCAGAAUUAUCUGGUGAAGACUCUUCCCUGUGUGUCCGUAUUUGCUUGGGUUUUUCCCACUCUGGUCACACUUCCGUUAUCAUCACCUCUUGUGUGCAUAAAAUCUCUUGUCCUUAGUGAGGAGGCAAACUUAUUUUUCAUACCUUUUUUCUUUCUAAAUACUCAAGUAGAAUAAAAGAAUUACAAAAAACGUAAAACUAUUGCUCACCAAGCACCCUCUGUUCUAACACAGUUGUUGAAAUCUUAAGACACCUUUCAUGCUCAGCAAUCAUGUCGGGAGGCGUUUCAAUAGAAAAGGUAGGAGCAGGGCAAGAAAGAUUCAUAUUCAAACCACCACUAAUGAUCCCUGGCUGGAACUGCAGGUAGGCUGCCAGGGGAGGCUUUGGCUGGCGGCUCCAUUGCCCUUCAAACCACACCAUGUUAUGGCUUUCACCUGUGGGUAAAGCUGUUCCUGCAGGGCACCUCUGGCAGACACUGAAGCAGCCACUGAAUCACGCUUUCAGACUGGGGAGACUCAGGCAAGCGCGCCACCCACAGGAGGCGGGAAUAAAUGUACUACUUGGGGAAAGAGAAAGCAACAUAGAAAACUCUAUCUUCAGGCCAGAAGCAGUGGCCAAGAUCCUAACUGGGGGAGUAGGGUAAGAUACGAGGCAGAAAGGCAAAGCUAGAUUGUGAACAGAAGAAUAACAAUCUUCCUUAUUAUAAUAGAAAGGUCAAAAAUUAGUUGGAACACAGUGUAUAAAUUAGAGCAGGUGCUUCUGGACCUGAACAGUGAUUAGAAGCCAGCUGUCAUUUGAUGUCUUGGAUGCAGAGCCAUGGAAUGGAGAGUGUGUAACUCAAAAAAAAAAAAAAAAAAAAAAAAA
rnacentral:lncRNA from 1 species